rnacentral:snRNA from 1 species
AGCUUUGCGCAGUGGCAGUAUCGUAGCCAAUGAGGUUUAUCCGAGGCGCGAUUAUUGCUAAUUGAAAGUGUCAAGUACAAAAACUUGCAAAGAGACCUAGUUUUGACUUUUCCACUCUAUUCCAGG